GACGAACGCUGGCGGCGUGCUUAACACAUGCAAGUCGUACGGAAAGGCCCCUUUGGGGGUACUCGAGUGGCGAACGGGUGAGUAACACGUGAGUAACCUGCCCUCGACUUCGGGAUAACGUCAGGAAACUGGGGCUAAUACUGGAUAGGUACCCUUGCUGCAUGGUGGGGGUUGGAAAGCUUCGGCGGUUUUGGAUGGACUCGCGGCCUAUCAGCUUGUUGGUGGGGUAGUGGCUUACCAAGGCGUCGACGGGUAGCCGGCCUGAGAGGGUGACCGGCCACAUUGGGACUGAGAUACGGCCCAGACUCCUACGGGAGGCAGCGGUGGGGAAUAUUGCACAAUGGGCGGAAGCCUGAUGCAGCAACGCCGCGUGCGGGAUGACGGCCUUCGGGUUGUAAACCGCUUUCAGCAGGGACGAAGCUUGUUGUGACGGUACCUGCAGAAGAAGCACCGGCUAACUACGUG
rnacentral:rRNA from 1 species